rnacentral:rRNA from 1 species
CCUACGGGAGACAGCAGUGAGGAAUAUUGGUCAAUGGCCGGAAGGCUGAACCAGCCAUGCCGCGUGAAGGUCAGUGCCCUAUGGGCGUUAAACUUCUUUUGUGCGGGAGCAAUAAUGGUCACGUGUGGCCAGACGAGAGUACCGUACGAAUAAGCAUCGGCUAACUCCGUGCCAGCAGCCGCGGUAAUACGGGGGAUGCAAGCGUUAUCCGGAUUUAUUGGGGUUAAGGGGUGCGUAGGCUGUGAGGUAAGUCAGCGGUGAAAUGCCCCCGCUCAACGGGGUGAAGUGCCAUUGAUACUGCCUUGCUGGAAUGCGGAUGCCGUGGGAGGAAUGUGUGGUGUAGCGGUGAAAUGCAUAGAUAUCACACAGAACACCGAUUGCGAAGGCAUCUCACGAAUCCGCGAUUGACGCUGAUGCACGAAAGCGUGGGUAUCAAACAGGAUUAGAUACCCUUGUAGUC